UACGGGGGGGGGCAAGCGUUGUUCGGACUUACUGGGCGUAAAGGGCUCGUAGGUGGCCAACUAAGUCGGACGUGAAAUCCCUCGGCUUAACCGGGGAACUGCGUCUGAUACUGGAUGGCUUGAGUUCGGGAGAGGGAUGCGGAAUUCCAGGUGUAGCGGUGAAAUGCGUAGAUAUCUGGAGGAACACCGGUGGCGAAGGCGGCAUCCUGGACCGACACUGACGCUGAGGAGCGAAAGCCAGGGGAGCAAACGGG
rnacentral:rRNA from 1 species